UCACUUACCUGGACGAGGUCAAUAGGCGAUCAAUAAGACCUAUGGCCUAUGCUGGCAACCUCCAUUGCACCUUGGAGGGGUGCUCGCGUAAGGUCGGCCCAAGUGGUCGAGCCUGCGUCAUAAUUUGUGUUAGAGGGGGCCUGCGUUCGCGCGGCCCCCAC
rnacentral:snRNA from 1 species